GUAUGUGUCUGUGUAUGUAUCCUUCUCUUUCUUUAAAAACGAUUUCUCCAAGGUUCUCUUUUUCUUCAUCAAUGGGGAAGAAAUCAUCGGUCAGUGCAAGAAAGAAAGGAGGAAAAUCAAGAAGUUCAUAUGAAAUGCCUUCUUUUACAAAUAAAACUCCCUCUAUUACUCAAAUUGAAAAUCCAACUUCCUCCACAAUUAUCUCCAAAAAUCCUCCCUCUACCACUCAAACUCAAACCACCACCGCACAACAAAAUCAACCUCUUAUACCACAAAAUUAUCCUCCACCACCACAACCACCCCCUUCCAUCGUUUCAUCUCCUACUCAUCCUCCCACUAAUGAACCUAAUCCCACUACCUCAACUGUCAAACCUCCAACCACUUCCUUAACCGAAAAUCAAAUCGCAUUUGUUGUUUCUCAUAACCUAAUUUCCGUAGAGAUGGGUGGAGCUGUUCCUGAGAGGGAACAUGUUAUUGGCACUGUUCAAAGGGUUUUAGAAAAUUUUCUACUGAGAUUCCUUUUGAGAAGGACUAAAAGGUGGAAGAAUAUCUAGUUGUUACUUCUCACAAGGGUCUCUAACUAGCUCUACUAGGGAAAGGCGAAGGAAAGUCACUAUAUCUUUCUAUAAAGAUGAAACAAAAGAAGUUUUUGAGGAACAGUUUGUUGCUUCUACUAGGGAAAUCAAGAGAAAAGGGGUAUCAACCAGACCUCUCCGAGCGACAAAAGCUGAUCCCUGUGUUCAUGCUGAUCCUAAGGAAGAGGAUCAAGAUGAUGAUGAGGAAGAUGAAGAAGGUUAUAGUUCCUCUCACUCCACCUCCAACAAAGAAGAAGUAGAAGAUGAUGAUGAUGAUGAUGAUGAUGACGACAACGAUGAUGAUUAUGCCUUAGAAGGAGAGGAUGAAGAUAUGACGAGGAGUGAAUGCUUUUUCCAGCUGUUUCCCCCCUCCCAUUCUGAUAUUUGUUUAUGCAAUAUUAUUUUCCCCUUAUUACAAAAUAAUUUCUUAUGUAAUUUGGGUUCUUAUUUGACAUGCUAGUUUAUACUUGGAUAAUUUGAAUUUUGGUUAA